UCCUAUUUGUAAAAUAGCAAUUGUUUUAUGAGCUGUUAAAUUUCAUAUUGACAUUGUAGGUUAUUGAAAGCUACUUGUAUCUAUUGAAGAACAGCACUCUUGACCACUCAAAUAAGAUUCAAAUGGUUGGCAGUCUGUUUAUGGAGAAACUCCGUGUCUGUGGAUACGACGGGGUGAAGACUUGAAAAAGAAAUGGACAGUGUUACAAGAAGACCUGAUUCUUUGUGUCAUCAAUGUUAAAUCCUCACAUUGGUCAUUAAUGGGAAGAGCUACUUGAAUCUCAGAUAAAGGUAUAAUGGCUUAUUUCGAAUUGGCAACUACUAGCUUGGAGAACCAAAGGCAAGAGUGAUGACUUACUAUGACUCGCUUGUUAGAGAUGGCACCAAGCCGUUUCAUCAAUUAAGGUAGGGAGACUAGUC